rnacentral:rRNA from 1 species
GUUGCCAGCGGGUCAAGCCGGGAACUCUAACGGAACUGCCAGCGUAAGCUGUGAGGAAGGCGGGGAUGACGUCAAAUCAGCACGGCCCUUACGUCCAGGGCUACACACGUGUUACAAUGGCCGGUACAGAGGGCAGCCACCCCGCGAGGGGGCGCGAAUCCCGAAAGCCGGUCGCAGUUCGGAUCGGAGUCUGGAACCCGACUCCGUGAAGCUGGAUUCGCUAGUAAUCGCGCAUCAGCCAUGGCCGCGGUCGAAUACGUUCCCGGGCCUU